AGCAGCCGCGGUAAUUCCAGCUCCAAUAGCGUAUAUUAAAGUUGUUGCAGUUAAAAAGCUCGUAGUUGAAUUUCGGGGUCGGUAGGCUGGUCAUGCCUCUGGUUUGCACUGGUCUCACUGAUUCCUCCUUCCUGAUGAGCCGUAAUGCCAUUAAUUUGGUGUUGCGAGGAAUCUGGACUGUUACUUUGAAAAAAUUGAGUGUUUAAAGCAAGCUAACGCUUGAAUACAUUAGCAUGGAAUAAUGAAAUAGGACGUCUGUCUUAUUUUGUGGUUUCUAGGAUCGACGUAAUGAUUAAUAGGGAUAGUUGGGGGCAUUAGUAUUCAAUUGUCAGAGGUGAAAUUCUUGGAUUUUAUUGAAGACUAACUACUGCGAAAGCAUUUGCCAAGGAUGUUUUCAUUAAUCAAGAACGAAAGUUAGGGGAUCGAAGACGAUCAGAUACCGUCGUAGUCUUAACCAUAAACUAUGCCGACUAGGGAUCGGAUGAUGUUAAUUUUUAUA
rnacentral:rRNA from 1 species